rnacentral:lncRNA from 1 species
UGUGGAGGCAGCCCCGGAAGGGCGGGCUGACCCCGGCGAGGUACGGCAGGUUGAGGCUGCCUGUCCCGCCUGCAUAGAGGCCAUGCUGGAUGUCCAGCUCCCGCAUGGGCCCCGCAAUGUCCACGGAGCUGUUGAAGAGGCCGUCGAUGGUCAGUGUCAUUCUGCCAUCCUCCAGCAGCAGCUCCACGUCGUGCAGCGCCAGGUUGUCCAGCUGCAGCUCUGCCGGGGACUGCAGCGUCACCUCUUCUGAGCCCAGCCGCAGCCUGGCCUGCAGGGUGCCGGCUCGCAGCUGCAGCAGGAGGUGGUCGGGCUGCCCGGCGGCCAGGAAGAGCAGCCCGCUGCCCUGCCCGGUGUACAGCUGGAGCCGCAGCCGCACCGUCCGCGAGGCGUCCGCCAGCGGCAUCUCCACGAAGCUGUCCCCGAAGAACGAGACUGCAGCUGAGGGUCCCGCGUGGAAGGCAGGGGGCUGCUGGGCCAGCAGCAGCAGCAGCAGCAGCAGUGCGUGGGGACCACGUUGGGGUGCCAUGGUGCUCCCGGCCGGAGCUCUGCGCCCGCUCCCG